UAGGUAAAUGAAUUUAAUCACUUGGGGGA
rnacentral:piRNA from 1 species